AAAACUAGCCAUCUUUUGGGUAUGAAACCCAUUUGGGCGAGAGUAGUACUAGGAUGGGUGACCUCCUGGGAAGUCCUCGUGAAAGGGUUUC
rnacentral:rRNA from 1 species